CCCUUAGAUGUUCUGGGCUGCACCCGUGCUACACUGGCAGGUUCAGCGAGCUUCAUGCCCUGAUCUGAAAGGAAUGGGAAAUCUUUUCAAAACCUGCCGUGCUUGGGAUAGAUGUUUGCAAUUAUUCAUCUUCAACGAGGAUUGCCUUGUAAGCGCACGUCAUCAGCGUGCAUUGAAUACGACCCUGUAUUCUGUACACACCGCCCGUCGCUCCUACCGAUUGAAGUUUUCGGUGAGUUGACAGGAGGAUGUUUUUGAAACUGGUUCGCCAGUGGAUUUUAGAUCCAAAUGCCAACGAAUCGAUGGCUUUAGAGGAAGGAGAAGUCGUAACA
rnacentral:rRNA from 1 species